AGUGAACGCUGGCGGUAGGCCUAACACAUGCAAGUCGAACGGCAGCACAGUAAGAGCUUGCUCUUACGGGUGGCGAGUGGCGGACGGGUGAGGAAUACAUCGGAAUCUACUUUUUCGUGGGGGAUAACGUAGGGAAACUUACGCUAAUACCGCAUACGACCUACGGGUGAAAGCAGGGGAUCUUCGUACCUUGCGCGAUUGAAUGAGCCGAUGUCGGAUUAGCUAGUUGGCAGGGUAAAGGCCCACCAAGGCGACGAUCCGUAGCUGGUCUGAGAGGAUGAUCAGCCACACUGGAACUGAGACACGGUCCAGACUCCUACGGGAGGCAGCAGUGGGGAAUAUUGGACAAUGGGCGCAAGCCUGAUCCAGCCAUACCGCGUGGGUGAAGAAGGCCUUCGGGUUGUAAAGCCCUUUUGUUGGGAAAGAAAAGCAGCAGGUUAAUACCCCGCUGUUCUGACGGUACCCAAAGAAUAAGCACCGGCUAACUUCGUG
rnacentral:rRNA from 1 species